rnacentral:rRNA from 1 species
UACGGAGGGGGCUAGCGUUGUUCGGAAUUACUGGGCGUAAAGCGCGCGUAGGCGGACCUGCAAGUCGGGGGUGAAAGCCCGAGGCUCAACCUCGGAACUGCCUUCGAUACUGCGGGUCUCGAGUCCGGGAGAGGUGAGUGGAAUUCCUGGUGUAGCGGUGAAAUGCGCAGAUAUCAGGAAGAACACCCGUGGCGAAGGCGGCUCUCUGGGACGGUACUGACGCUGAGACGCGAAAGCGUGGGGAGCGAACAGG